rnacentral:rRNA from 1 species
GAUGAACGCUGGCGGCGUGCUUAACACAUGCAAGUCGAACGGUGAAGCCAAGCUUGCUUGGUGGAUCAGUGGCGAACGGGUGAGUAACACGUGAGCAACCUGCCCUGGACUCUGGGAUAAGCGCUGGAAACGGCGUCUAAUACUGGAUAUGAGACGUGAUCGCAUGGUCAACGUUUGGAAAGAUUUUUCGGUCUGGGAUGGGCUCGCGGCCUAUCAGCUUGUUGGUGAGGUAAUGGCUCACCAAGGCGUCGACGGGUAGCCGGCCUGAGAGGGUGACCGGCCACACUGGGACUGAGACACGGCCCAGACUCCUACGGGAGGCAGCAGUGGGGAAUAUUGCACAAUGGGCGGAAGCCUGAUGCAGCAACGCCGCGUGAGGGAUGACGGCCUUCGGGUUGUAAACCUCUUUUAGCAGGGAAGAAGCGAAAGUGACGGUACCUGCAGAAAAAGCGCCGGCUAACUACGUGCCAGCAGCUGCGGUAAUACGUAGGGCGCAAGCGUUAUCCGGAAUUAUUGGGCGUAAAGAGCUCGUAGGCGGUUUGUCGCGUCUGCUGUGAAAUCCCGAGGCUCAACCUCGGGCCUGCAGUGGGUACGGGCAGACUAGAGUGCGGUAGGGGAGAUUGGAAUUCCUGGUGUAGCGGUGGAAUGCGCAGAUAUCAGGAGGAACACCGAUGGCGAAGGCAGAUCUCUGGGCCGUAACUGACGCUGAGGAGCGAAAGGGUGGGGAGCAAACAGGCUUAGAUACCCUGGUAGUCCACCCCGUAAACGUUGGGAACUAGUUGUGGGGACCAUUCCACGGUUUCCGUGACGCAGCUAACGCAUUAAGUUCCCCGCCUGGGGAGUACGGCCGCAAGGCUAAAACUCAAAGGAAUUGACGGGGACCCGCACAAGCGGCGGAGCAUGCGGAUUAAUUCGAUGCAACGCGAAGAACCUUACCAAGGCUUGACAUACACCAGAACGGGCCAGAAAUGGUCAACUCUUUGGACACUGGUGAACAGGUGGUGCAUGGUUGUCGUCAGCUCGUGUCGUGAGAUGUUGGGUUAAGUCCCGCAACGAGCGCAACCCUCGUUCUAUGUUGCCAGCACGUAAUGGUGGGAACU